rnacentral:rRNA from 1 species
UCGCUCCUACCGAUUUCGAGUGAUCCGGUGAACCUUUUGGACGGCGUGGGCCCUCGUGGUUCGCGCUGGAAAUCAAGUAAACCACAUCACUUAGAGGAAGGAG